UGAACGCUGGCGGCGUGCCUAAUACAUGCACGUCGCGCGAACAGACGAGGAGCUUGCUCCUCUGACGUUAGCGGCGGACGGGUGAGUAACACGUGGAUAACCUACCUAUAAGACUGGGAUAACUUCGGGAAACCGGAGCUAAUACCGGAUAAUAUAUUGAACCGCAUGGUUCAAUAGUGAAAGACGGUUUUGCUGUCACUUAUAGAUGGAUCCGCGCCGCAUUAGCUAGUUGGUAAGGUAACGGCUUACCAAGGCAACGAUGCGUAGCCGACCUGAGAGGGUGAUCGGCCACACUGGAACUGAGACACGGUCCAGACUCCUACGGGAGGCAGCAGUAGGGAAUCUUCCGCAAUGGGCGAAAGCUUGACGGAGCAACGCCGCGUGAGUGAUGAAGGUCUUCGGAUCGUAAAACUCUGUUAUUAGGGAAGAACAAAUGUGUAAGUAACUAUGCACGUCUUGACGGUACCUAAUCAGAAAGCCACGGCUAACUACGUG
rnacentral:rRNA from 1 species